UACGUAGGGGGCUAGCGUUGUCCGGAAUCAUUGGGCGUAAAGCGCGUGUAGGCGGUCCGGUAAGUCCGCUGUGAAAGUCGAGGGCUCAACCCUCGAAUGCCGGUGGAUACUGUCGGGCUUGAGGACUGGAGAGGGAUGCGGAAUUCCAGGUGUAGCGGUGAAAUGCGUAGAUAUCUGGAGGAACACCGGUGGCGAAGGCGGCAUCCUGGACCGGUAUUGACGCUGAGGCGCGAAAGCCAGGGGAGCAAACGGG
rnacentral:rRNA from 1 species